UACGUAGGGAGCAAGCGUUGUCCGGAAUCAUUGGGCGUAAAGCGCGCGUAGGCGGCUCGAUCAGUCUGUUGUGAAAGUCAAAGGCUCAAUCUUUGAAUGCCGAUGGAUACUGUCGAGCUAGAGUCCGGAAGAGGCGAGUGGAAUUCCUGGUGUAGCGGUGAAAUGCGCAGAUAUCAGGAGGAACACCAAUUGCGAAGGCAGCUCGCUGGGACGUUACUGACGCUGAGACGCGAAAGCGUGGGGAGCAAACAGG
rnacentral:rRNA from 1 species